GACGUAGGGUCCGAGCGUUGUCCGGAGUUACUGGGCGUAAAGGGCGCGUAGGCGGCUUUGUGCGUCACCCGUGAAAGCCCCCGGCUCAACCGGGGAGGGUCGGGUGAAACGGCGGAGCUGGAGGCAGCGAGAGGCUGGUGGAAUUCCCGGAGUAGUGGUGAAAUGCGUAGAGAUCGGGAGGAACACCAAUGGCGAAGGCAGCUCGCUGGGACGGUACUGACGCUGAGGAGCGAAAGCGUGGGGAGCGAACAGG
rnacentral:rRNA from 1 species